AUUCUUGAUUUAUACAGAAUAUAAGUAGUGGGAUUUUGACUAAAUUUGGUUAUAAGUAUUAAAGUUUGAAUCUUGAAAAGUUUUUGGAAGUAAUUAUAUGGGGAAAUCAGGUGGUAGGAAGAAAAAGGGUCAAAAUCAAGGGGAGAACCAUAAACCUGUUGUUAAUGGUACUGUUGAUUUGGACUCAUCAAUUUUUUUAAAAAGAGCCCACGAACUGAAAGAAGAGGGAAACAAAAGGUUUCAGGCUAAGGAU
rnacentral:misc_RNA from 1 species